ACAUGUUAUCUUUGUGUGGUAAGUUUCAAGCAGGGACUAUUUGGUACGUGUUUAUAUCUCUGACAUUUGACAUUCGAGCAAGCUGUUAAAGCCAUAUGAUUGACUUCUCAACAUGCAUCCAUUAUCUAUACUGCUUAUCCAGUUUUGGGUUGCAGAGGACCAGGGCCGAUCCCAGCUGUCAUUGGGUGGGAAGCGGGGUACACCCUGCACUGACAGGGCUGACUUAUAGAGACAGACAACCAGCCACACUCACAUUCACACCUACAGACAAUUUAGAAUCACCAGUUAUCCAAACGAGCACGUCUUUGGACUGUGGGAGGAAGCCGGAGUACCCUGAAUGGAACCCACGCACACACGGGGAGGACAUGCAAACUCCACACAGAGAGGCUCCUGUACGAUGGGGAUUCGAACCAGGGACCUUCUCACUGUCAUAUGAAUGCCGUGCUUGUAAGACGCCAGCAUGUCCUUGAAUGCACCAAAAAGAAACCCACAGCUUGUUUUUGUGUUGAAUAAAACUUUGACUAAUGCGAAAAGUUGCAAUGUUUCACUGAGAUGGAUUAUGAAGCAACUUUAAACUCAUUGUGUAAAACUUUGUUUUUUUUAAACUUUUGUUUAAUAAAUGUAAAUCUGUGCCCAAAACCCAA